rnacentral:rRNA from 1 species
GAUGAACGCUGGCGGCGUGCCUAAUACAUGCAAGUCGAGCGAAGCGGGGAAGGGUGAGUAACACGUGGAUAACCUCCUAUAAGACUGGGAUAACUUCGGGAAACCGGAGCUAAACCGGAAACUUAUAGAUGGAUACGCGCUGCAUUAGCUAGUUGGUAAGGUAACGGCUUACCAAGGCAACGAUGCAUAGCCGACCUGAGAGUGGUAUCCGCCACACUGGAACUGAGAACCGGUCCAGACUCCUACGUGAGGCACGAUGAGGGAAUCUUCCGCAAUGGGCGAAAGCCUGACGGGGCAACGCCGCGUGAGUGAUGAAGGUUUUCGGAUCGUAAAACUCUGUUAUUAGGGAAGCGGUACCUAAUCAGAAAGCCACGGCUAACUACGUGCCAGCAGCCGCGGUAAUAC